rnacentral:sRNA from 1 species
GAGCUGCUCUGGCUAAAGACUCUAAAGAUAAUCAGGAGUUGUCAUAUAAUUUUACCAUUCCUUACAUGGUCUAUCUUCAGUCCUUCCCAGAACCCUGCGUGGGGUCUCUCAUUCACCCUGACUGGGUAUUGACAGCUGCCCACUGCCCCUUACCUGUUGAAAUUCGACUGGGAGUUUCUCAACCUAGCAUCACAAACAAGAAACAACAGAUACGAAACUAUUCAUCGAUUGUGUCCUACCCUGACUUUGAUGCAAAAUCCUUGAACAAUGACCUAAUGAUGAUCAAACUAUCAACACCUGCUUCACUCAACCCCCAUGUGGGGACUAUAGCCAUAGCCUUGGAACCCAUUCCAUUUAAUGAAUCCUGCUUUAUUCCAACCUGGACCUGGAAUGAAUAUAAAAACCAUAUUGAUCCUGACAUCCUGACAUGGAUCAACCAAUAUUCUCUUCCAUUCCGUGACUGUCAGGAUAGACUCAAAGAAGAACAGGCAGGAAACAUCAUUUGUGUAGGACACCCUCUAAGGAUCCUAUCUAAAAACAAGGAAGUUUCGGCUGCCCCAGCCAUCUGCAAUGGGAGGUUGCAUGGAAUCUUGUCUUGGGCAGAAGGAAGUGUCACCCUAGGAAGUGAAGGAUUCUUCACAGGUGUUCAUCGCUAUGCAAGAUGGAUCUUGAAAAUUAUGGAUACCCAC